AUCUGGCUUAGUUAGGGGGCAUAGAUAAAUUGAACAAAAAAGAGACCGUACUGGUCUGUUUUUUUUGGCUGAGGCAUUUUGAGGAGACUUGCAAAUUUCCUUUGCUGGUCUCUCAAGCAUCCUUGGACAUUU